CCCAGUGGCAAUAGCAUGUUGAAUACAAGUUUCCAUAGAUCACUUAGGAUAAGCAAUAUUGUGUGAGGUUGGUAACUGGAUAGGUGACCAAACUAAGAUACCACAUGCUCUUGGUU
rnacentral:rRNA from 1 species